rnacentral:tRNA from 1 species
CGGGGCGUGGCGCAGUUUGGCAGCGCGCUUGACUGGGGGUCAAGAGGUCGCAGGUUCAAAUCCUGUCGCUCCGACCA